UACGUAGGGAGCGAGCGUUGUUCGGAUUUACUGGGCGUAAAGAGCACGUAGGCGGGUAUGCAAGUCGGUUGUGAAAUCCUCUGGCUCAACCAGAGAACUGCAAUCGAAACUGCAUACCUUGAGUCCAACAGAGGGAAUCGGAAUCCAAGGUGUAGCGGUGAAAUGCGUAGAUAUCUUGGAGAACAUCAGUGGCGAAGGCGGAUUCCUGGGUUGGCACUGACGCUGAGGUGCGAAAGCUAAGGUAGCGAAC
rnacentral:rRNA from 1 species